UUGAUUCUACAACAGAUGAAGAGCAAAAUAAAGGCUUUUUUAGAGCUGCAUAUGUAACUUCUUCCUGUAUCUAUAUUUCAACAAGUUAUAAUUUUGCAUAUCCUUGCAUUCAACUUGAACAGUAGCCUUCAGGUCAUUUCAGGGAUCCUGCUGGUGCCAUUGACUCUCGCGCUGACCAUCUUUAUGUUUUGGCAUGUUUAUCUUAUUCUGCAAAACAAGACCACAAUAGAGUACCAUGAAGGUGUGAGAGCUAUGUGGCUUGCUGAAAAAUGAGGUUAUCUGUAUUCACAUCCAUAUGAUCUUGGUACUUAUGAGAAUAUGAUAUCAGUUUUAGGUCCAAAUAUCUUUUGCUGGGUAUGUCCCACCUCAGAGCAGAUUGGUUCUGGCCUUCGUUUCCGCACCAACAAUCUGAUGGUCCUAUAUCAUUAUUGAUGAUAAUCAAAUUAUGGUGUCCGCAUGCUUUCUUUUUGGAAAUACAGCCAUUAAAAAAGUGUCUUGUGUAGCUCCUCCUUACAUCCACGUUGUUGCAGAAGUAGUCAAAGUUGACUGGACUUCUGAAGCAGUCAGAUGUAAAAUAGGACCCUCCUCAUGACUUUUUUUUUUCUUUCAAAAGUACCAUCCUCAUACAAUCAUGUACAAAUGACAGAGUUCCAGGCUAACUCACAGCAACUUCAAGUAGAAGAGAUAGGCCAAAAAUUGUAACUUAAAGAUGUUGUAAUGUUGUGACUCUCAGGAAGUGUA